CACGUAGGGCGCGAGCGUUGUCCGGAAUUAUUGGGCGUAAAGAGCUCGUAGGCGGUUUGUCGCGUCUGCCGUGAAAGUCCGGGGCUCAACUCCGGAUCUGCGGUGGGUACGGGCAGACUAGAGUGAUGUAGGGGAGACUGGAAUUCCUGGUGUAGCGGUGAAAUGCGCAGAUAUCAGGAGGAACACCGAUGGCGAAGGCAGAUCUCUGGGCCGUAACUGACGCUGAGGAGCGAAAGCAUGGGAGCGAACAGG
rnacentral:rRNA from 1 species